GUGCUCACUUCAGCAACACAUACACUAACACUGAAAUAAUAUAGAGAUUAGCAUGGGACCUGAGCAUGGAUGACAUACAAAUUUGUGAAGCAUUCCAUAAUUUU